rnacentral:lncRNA from 1 species
AUAUUCCUUUAGGUUGGAUUGGAAGGAUUCUAGCUCUCUUUUGGAGCUUGAGAGAGAUUUUCUACUCCUUAGGUGAGUUUUUGUCCCUUUGCUUGUGGUGGUUAAUGUUUGAGCCUAGAGUUGUUCGUAACGUUUGUUUAUCUCUUCGCUCCUUACCUUUAGGGUACUUAGAGAUUUGUGGACAACUCCGUUCGGCGAAACAAAGGGCUCCGAGACGGUUCGGUGGGUUUGACCUAGCCACACAAUGAGAAAAUCUCAUUUGUGAUGAAUUGAGUAUCGUUAAAUGAAAAAGCAUACAUAAUCAUGUUAGAUAUAUUUAUUAUGAAUUUUAGAAUGCUUAAAAUGCCUAUGUUACAUACAUUUUAUUUUCGGACCUCUAUGAAGUAGAGAACUUGCAUGUGAGACGUAUAUGUGCAUGAGCAUUCUUAUGAGAGACUUGGGUUCAUGUUUA